rnacentral:rRNA from 1 species
CCUACGGGCGGCAGCAGUGAGGAAUAUUGGUCAAUGGACGAGAGUCUGAACCAGCCAAGUAGCGUGAAGGAUGACUGCCCUAUGGGUUGUAAACUUCUUUUAUAUGGGAAUAAAAUGUUCCACGUGUGGGAUUUUGUAUGUACCAUAUGAAUAAGGAUCGGCUAACUCCGUGCCAGCAGCCGCGGUAAUACGGAGGAGCCGAGCGUUAUCCGGAUUUAUUGGGUUUAAAGGGAGCGUAGGUGGAUUGUUAAGUCAGUUGUGAAAGUUUGCGGCUCAACCGUAAAAUUGCAGUUGAAACUGGCAGUCUUGAGUACAGUAGAGGUGGGCGGAAUUCGUGGUGUAGCGGUGAAAUGCUUAGAUAUCACGAAGAACUCCGAUUGCGAAGGCAGUUCACUGGACUGCAACUGACACUGAGGCUCGAAAGUGUGGGUAUCAAACAGGAUUAGAUACCCCUGUAGUC